UCCCGCUUCCCCAGAAGCUCCGCGGCGGGGACCCCCGCGCCCCCUCCCACCCGCCCCGCCUCUCGGCCUUCCGCCGCCUCGGCGCCCGCGAGGGCCCUUCAGGGCACCCUGGCCCUCCGGGAGUGGAGUGGGCGCACUGUUCCCUGCUCACCCUCCGGGAACGCCCCCACCCCGUGUGGAGCCCGCAGCCCAGUGUGCUCGCGCCUCCAUUUCCAAACUCCGCGGCACCAGUGAUGCGUGUGGCCACUGAGGGGCGUGGAGGGCGCGGGUGUGUGGAGGGGGUCUUCUGGGAAGGAGGCCUGCCCCCCGGGGCAGCUGACGCGCGCAGCCAAGAAGAAAAAUGAUUUUCUCGCCGACUCCACCUUCAUUCACAGAGUGCUCUCGCCUCGUUGCACGAUCGCUUUCUCUGUCCUCUGGACUGCGCCGAAAGGGCCCUAAGCGUGAACUCGGUCUGGGCGAUGACAGAAUUGACUGGAAGUCCGGAAUCACCAGAAGAUAACUCAAGGCAUAGUUCAGUUGUGACUUGCAAAAAAUACACUGCAUUAGAACCAAGUUCAGUGAAAAAUAUGACUCAUAGCAGUCAGGGUCCAUAUAAAUGAUGGAAUCCUUCUGAGUGAUUAUUGGGAAGAUCCUCUGUCUCAGUGAUGGGCUUAAGGUUUGAGACUUGGUGGCUCAGCAUCCUGUGCACCAUCAUAACCAUUAUCUUCCAUUAUGAGGAAGGGGGAUACUAUUUUCCCACUCAAAGCCAACUCACUGGUUUCACUACUGAAUACCAACCUCCACCCUGCCACCAUCAUCCUCAGAGGGUGUUGUCAGAAUCCCUGUCCCCACUCCCUCCUCAGGAAAUUAGACACAAGUUGAACAUAAGCUUUGGUGGCUGUCACCAUGGGAAAAGUCAGGACAUCGAUGGUGAGGGAGAACCUGGCAGCCUCGAAUGGUAAAAUGGAUGCAGUUGUACAAGUAGCUGUAUGUGUUUAAUGUUCCUUCUCUGCACUAAACUGAGAAUGAAGGAAGAUACUGAAUCAAAGCACAUGGCAAAAUAUAACCAGAACCAGAAUCAGAAGACCCUGAGAGACAAAGGAAAACUGAACACUUCAUUCCAAUACCUUAAAACAUGAUUCUUAGUUUCCCUCUUAGGUCAGGCAACAAAAUACAAAUGUUGCUUAGUUUCAGGCUCAAGCUUGAUCUCCUAAAUGAAGCCAAUAAUAAAUGUCAGGAAAAUUUAAUAGAUUAGCCUACCCUAUAUUGUAUCCAUUAAGUUUUAUGGGAGAAAUUACCCCUCUUUGAGGAAAGGAGUAAAAUGUUACUUUAUUUCUAACUCAAUCAAUCACUAAAAAUCACCUUGGAACUGAAGGCUUGUCAAAUAGAUAUUCACCAACAAAAUGAAUUGCAAAGAGGCUGAACUGCUUGAUAAAAUAAGAAGAUGAAAUUUUCAAUUAUUUGCAGAAGCUGCACUCACAGUAUAACAAAAAACAUUAUUGCCACAAGAGGAAUGCUUUCAAGAAUCAGUGUUAGGAAUUCCUUGGUGCCAGUGGUUAGGACUCAUCAGUUUCACUGCUGUGGCCCAGGUUUAAUCCCUGGUUGGGGAACUAUGAUCCCACGUAGCGAGGCCAAAAUAAAAAAAGACUCAGUGUUCUUUCACUAAUAUAAAUAACACUAUUUUGGCAGUUCAGAUCAAGUAGAAUCCAACAAAGAAAAGAACAUGAUCAGUAACAUCUGCUGUGAUCAAAUGACAGCAAUGUCAAAUUCUCUUUUCUUGAAGCCCUGACUGAGAUGAACCAUGAUGUUCCCAGGAUUAGUCACCUAAAGUAUUUCAUAGUUCUUUAUAGCAUGUGAAUUUUCUUAGAUUAGUUCAAAUUUACAAGGAGUUUCUACCUGAGUUGUUCCUUAAGGGUUCUAUGUAGAAUUAUUUACAGUGGAGUUGGUCUUUUUUCCCCAGAGUUGAGGCAUCCUAGUGGCUUGAGAAUUAUUUCCUUAGAAAUACUUCUCAGGGACUUCCCUGGUGGUGCAAUGGUUAAGAAUCUGCCUGCCAUUGCCUGGGACAUGGGUUCACUUCGUGGUCUGGGAAGAUCCCAUAUCCCACAGAGUAACUAAGCCUGUGCACCACAGCUACUGAGCCUGCACUCUAGAGCCCACGUGCCACAACUACUGAGCCUGCAUUCCUAGAGCCCAUGCUCCGCAACAAGAGAAGCCCACACUCGAUGCAACUAGAGAAAGCCCGUGUGCAGCAACAAAGACCCAACACAGCCAAAAAUAAAUAAAAUUUUUUUAAAAAAAGAAUGACCACAAAAUUUUAGGUGAUAAGUAACUGCAAACCAAAACUGUAAUAGAUAUACACACAAAAAAGAAAAAGGAAUCCAACAUAACACUAAAGAGUCAUCAAAUCACAAGAGAAGAGAACAAAAGAAGAAGAAAGGGGAAAAAAACCUACAAAAACAUUCAAAACAGUCAACAAAAUGGCAAUAAGAACAUACAUAUCAAUAAUUACCUUAAAUAUAAACGGACUAAAUGCUCCAACCAAAAGACAUAGAGUAGCUGAAUGUAUACAAAAACAAGACCCAUAUAUACAAUACCUACAAGGGACUUACUUCAGAUGUAGAGACACAUACAGACUGAAAGUGAGGGGAUGGAAAAAGGUAUCCCAUGCAAAUAGAAAUCAAAAGAAAGCCAAAGUAGCAAUAUUUAUAUCAGACAAGAGAGACUUUAGUAUAAAGACUUUACAAGAGACAAAGAAGAACACUACAUAAGGAUCAAGGGAUCAAUCCAAGAAGAAAAUAUAACAAUUGUAAAUAUAUAUGCACCCAACAUAGGAGCACCUAAAUAUAUAAGGCAAAUAUUAACAGACAUAAAAGGAGAAAUCGACAGUAACACAAUAAUAAUAGGGGACUUUAACACACCACUUACAUCAAUGGACAGAUCAUCCAGACAGAAAAUCAAUAAGAAAACACAGGCCUUAAAUAACACAUUAGACAAAUGGACUUAAAUAAUAUAUAGAGAGCAUCCAUCUGAAAGCAGCAGAACACACAUCCUUUUCAAAUGCAUAUGGAACAUUCUCCAGGACAGAUCACAUGCUAGGCCACAAAACAAGCCUCUGUAAAUUUAAGAAAAUUGAAAUCAUUUCAGGCAUCUUUUCUGACAACAACUAUGAGGCUAGAGAUCAACUACAAGAAAAAAAAACUGCAAAAAACACAAACACAUGGAGGCUAAACAGUAUUCUACUAAAUAACCAACGGAUCACUGAAGAAAUUAAAGAGGAAAAUUUAAAGUACAUAGAGACAAGUGAAAACGAAAACAUGAUGAUCCAAAACCUAUGGGAUGCAGCAAAAGCAGUUCUAAGAGGGAAGUUUAUAGCGAUACAUGCUUACCUAAGGAAACAAGAAAAAUCUCAAAUAAACAACCUAAUAAUUCGAUGGGAGUAGAACCAUUUACAAAGCUGGUAAACUGGGAGA